rnacentral:misc_RNA from 1 species
GAAAUGCGAUAAGUAAUGUGAAUUGCAGAAUUCAGUGAAUCAUCGAAUCUUUGAACGCACAUUGCGCCCGCCAGUAUUCUGGCGGGCAUGCCUGUCCGAGCGUCAUUUCAACCAUCAAGCCCCCGGGCUUGUGUUGGGGACCUGCGGCUGCCCGCAGGCCCUGAAAACCAGUGGCGGGCUCGCUGUCACACCGAGCGUAGUAGCAAUCACCUCGCUCAGGGCGUGCUGCGGGUUCCGGCCGUUAAACAGCCUUACAAAACCGAAGGUUGACCUCGGAUCAGGUAGGAAGACCCGCUGAACUUAAGC